rnacentral:rRNA from 1 species
GAUCCUGGCUCAGGAUGAACGCUGGCGGCGUGCUUAACACAUGCAAGUCGAACGAAGCACUUUAUUACGAUUUCUUCGGAAUGACGAUUUAGUGACUGAGUGGCGGACGGGUGAGUAACGCGUGGGUAACCUGCCUUAUACGGGGGGAUAACAGUUAGAAAUGACUGCUAAUACCGCAUAAGCGCACAGGAUUGCAUGAUCUGGUGUGAAAAAACUCCGGUGGUAUAAGAUGGACCCGCGU